AUUGAGCGCUGGCGGCAUGCCUUACACAUGCAAGUCGAACGGUAACGCGGGGGCAACCCUGGCGACGAGUGGCGAACGGGUGAGUAAUACAUCGGAACAUAUCCAGUAGCGGGGGAUAACCUAUCGAAAGAUUGGCUAAUACCGCAUACGAUCUACGGAUGAAAGCGGGGGACCGCAAGGCCUCGCACCAUUGGAGUGGCCGAGGUCAGAUUAGCUAGUUGGUGGGGUAAAAGCCGACCAAGGCGACGAUCUGUAGCUGGUCUGAGAGGACGAUCAGCCACACUGGAGCUGAGACACGGUCCAGACUCCUACGGGAGGCAGCAGUGGGGAAUUUUGGACAAUGGGCGCAAGCCUGAUCCAGCCAUGCCGCGUGAGUGAAGAAGGCCUUCGGGUUGUAAAGCUCUUUCGGUGAAGACGAAACGGUUAGUGUUAAUAACACUGACUAAUGACGGUACUCACAGAAGAAGCACCGGCUAACUACGUGCCAGCAGCCGCCGUAA
rnacentral:rRNA from 1 species